GAUGUGCUGUGUGUCGAUCAGCCGCUGGUGGAGGACCCUCGCAGCCCCGAGUACAACGCCAAGGAGCUGGUCGAUUACUUCCUAAAUGUGGCCACUGCCCAGGGCCGGUAUUACCGCACCAACCACACUGUGAUGACCAUGGGCUCGGACUUCCAAUAUGAGAAUGCCAACAUGUGGUUCAAGAACCUUGACAAGCUCAUCCGGCUGGUAAAUGCGCAGGUCAGUGCGCCUACCCUGUGGUACCCUUGUGCACAUGUGCGCUUGCAUCCGGGGGCCUUGGGUUAUGUGCAUAGCUCUCAGUGCUGUCUUUGUUUUCUAUUGUUCUAUUGUGGUCAUUCUAUAACAAAUGACCACACACUUAGCAGCUCAAAACAACAGAAAUACAUUGUCUUACAGUUCUGUAGGUAAGAAGUCCAGCAUGAGGCCGGGCGCAAUGGCUCAUGCCUGUAAUCCCAGCAUGUUGGGAGGCUGAGCCGGGCAGAUCACGAGGUCAGGAAUUCGAGACCAGCCUGACCAACAUGGUGAAACGCUGUCUCUACUAAAAAUACAGAAAUUAGCUGGGUGUGAUGGUGCGUGCCUGUA
rnacentral:lncRNA from 10 species